GGUACUGAUUUCUGUUGAUCCUGAGAAGACAACAACAACAAUAGUUGAUGCCAUGCAAGCUAGAGAUGAUGGCCAACAAAACUCUCAAAAAAACAUGCAACCAUUUUCUAUUGAUCUUAAUCAAAUGAUGACAAUAAUGGACACAAUGCAAAGCGGAAACGGUGUUGAUGAUAUUCAUAUGGAGGAUCAUGAUCAACACUUUUUUGGUUAAUCACUAUAGUGUAUUAUUCUCCAAUGUAUUAAUCGUUAAGUACUUUAACUCUAUUUUAAAAUUAGAGCUUGGAGGGAGUGGAUUGUGGAAUUAAGAUAAAGACAUUAUUUGUAUAUUGUACUUUUGAGUUAGACUACUAUUGUAUAUGUGAAAAAUUGGCUCAUCCUUUUGUAA